UCGGGAAUUUUGGGCAAUGGGCGAAAGCCUGACCCAGCAACGCCGCGUGAAGGAUGAAGUAUUUCGGUAUGUAAACUUCGAAAGAAUAGGAAGAAUAAAUGACGGUACUAUUUAUAAGGUCCGGCUAACUACGUGCCAGCAGCCGCGGUAAUACGUAGGGACCAAGCGUUGUUCGGAUUUACUGGGCGUAAAGGGCGCGUAGGCGGCAAUUCAAGUCAUCUGUGAAAUCUCCGGGCUUAACUCGGAACGGUCAGAUGAUACUGCUUUGCUAGAGUGCAGAAGGGGCAAUCGGAAUUCUUGGUGUAGCGGUGAAAUGCGUAGAUAUCAAGAGGAACACCUGAGGUGAAGACGGGUUGCUGGGCUGACACUGACACUGAGGCACGAAAGUGUGGGGAUCAAACAGGAUUAGAUACCCGGGUAGUCCCUGAGCGGGCUGGCAAGGCGCAU
rnacentral:rRNA from 1 species